rnacentral:rRNA from 1 species
UACGAAGGGUGCAAACGUUGCUCGGAAUUAUUGGGCGUAAAGGGCGCGUAGGCGGCCUUCUAAGUCGAACGUGAAAUCCCCGGGCUCAACCCGGGAACUGCGUCCGAUACUGGAAGGCUUGAAUCCGGGAGAGGGAUGCGGAAUUCCAGGUGUAGCGGUGAAAUGCGUAGAUAUCUGGAGGAACACCGGUGGCGAAGGCGGCAUCCUGGACCAAUUCUGACGCUGAGGAGCGAAAGCCAGGGGAGCAAACGGG